UCCUUCUCUCCUUUCCUCUCUUGCGAUCAUGCCUCAUGGAUGGUCUCUUACUUCUGCUCUUUUCUGUACAUAGGCUUCAUCCUCUGGCUUAUCUCUCUUAUUAGGAUUUUACCUGGUGCAAGCUUGACAUCUUAAUGCCACAAUACUCUCCUGCUCCAGGCCCAACCUUCCUCAUUCACUCUCUGAACUAUUUAAGUCAGACUCUGAAGGACAAAGAAGCCGAUUGGCUCAGUUCAGCCCAUGGGCUGGGUCAGGUGAUCACUCAGAACCAAUCAGCUGUGGCCAAGAAGAAAAUCAUGUGAUUAAAAUAUGGCUGCCUAAGCCUACCAAGAAUUCUGGAUGAAGGUCAAUUACAAAGAAGGGGUGUGCACCAGGAGACAACAAUAGACAAGCUUAAUUCCCACAGGACUCGGGUCACUGGAUGCAGAUUUGAUGAGAAGUAAAAAUGCAGCAGCGGGAGAGUCUGAGGCAAGGUGCCUGGCGGAGAGCUAGAUAAACAGAUAGUGCUGUGCCCGGUGGCUCCAGGGGCAGAUCAAAGCCGGAUUUCCCAGCACAGCUGGCCUGAGAGAAUGAAGCCGAUUUGCAGAGAACCUGGAACAGAAUUCUGGCUUGAGCAGAACUGGAGUUUCUGAAUCCAGUUGAC